rnacentral:rRNA from 1 species
GACGAACGCUGGCGGCGUGCCUAAUACAUGCAAGUCGAACGCAGUGGGGACGGGUGAGUAACACGUGGGUAACCUCCCAUCAGAGGGGAUAACACUUGGAAACAGGUGCUAAACAGAUACUAAUGGCUGGACCCGCGGUGCAUUAGCUAGUGGGUGAGGUAACGGCUCACCAAGGCCACGAUGCAUAGCCGAUCUGAGAGGGUGAUCGGCCACACUGGGACUGAGAAACGGCCCAGACUCCUACGGGAGGCAGCAGUAGGGAAUCUGCGGCAAUGGACGAAAGUCUGACCGAGCAACGCCGCGUGAGUGAAGAAGGUCUUCGGAUCGCAAAACUCUGUUAGUAGGGAAGCGGGACCUAAUCAGAAAGCCACGGCUAACUCCGUGCCAGCAGCCGCGGUAAUAC